rnacentral:rRNA from 1 species
GAUGAACGCUGGCGGCGUGCCUAAUACAUGCAAGUCGAGCGAACAGACGAGGAGCUUGCUCCUCUGACGUUAGCGGCGGACGGGUGAUUAACACGUGGAUAACCUACCUAUAAGACUGGGAUAACUUCGGGAAACCGGAGCUAAUACCGGAUAAUAUAUUUAACCGCAUGGUUCAAUAGUGAAAGACGGUUUUGCUGUCACUUAUAGAUGGAUCCGCGCCGCAUUAGCUAGUUGGUAAGGUAACGGCUUACCAAGGCAACGAUGCGUAGCCGACCUGAGAGGGUGAUCGGCCACACUGAAACUGAGACACGGUCCAGACUCCUACGGGAGGAAGCAGUAGGGAAUCUUCCGCAAUGGGCGAAAGCCUGACGGAGCAACGCCGCGUGAGUGAUGAAGGUAUUAUGAUCGUAAAACUCUGUUAUUCGGGAAGAACAAAUGUGUAAGUAACUAUGCACGUCUUGACGGUACCUAAUCAGAAAGCCACGGCUAAAUACGUG